rnacentral:rRNA from 1 species
CCUACGUGGGGCAGCAGUGGGGAAUAUUGGACAAUGGGCGAAAGCCUGAUCCAGCCAUGCCGCGUGUGUGAAGAAGGCCUUCGGGUUGUAAAGCACUUUCAGUGGGGAAGAAAGCCUUGGGGCUAAUACCCUCGAGGAAGGACAUCACCCACAGAAGAAGCACCGGCUAACUCCGUGCCAGCAGCCGCGGUAAUACGGAGGGUGCGAGCGUUAAUCGGAAUUACUGGGCGUAAAGCGCGCGUAGGCGGUCUGAUAAGCCGGUUGUGAAAGCCCCGGGCUCAACCUGGGAACGGCAUCCGGAACUGUCAGGCUAGAGUGCAGGAGAGGAAGGUAGAAUUCCCGGUGUAGCGGUGAAAUGCGUAGAGAUCGGGAGGAAUACCAGUGGCGAAGGCGGCCUUCUGGACUGACACUGACGCUGAGGUGCGAAAGCGUGGGUAGCAAACAGGAUUAGAUACCCCUGUAGUC